AAAUUACUUUGGCUAAAAUGCAGAGCUCUUGUACAAGAGAAGUGGGAAACAACACUGGAGAAAAAUGGGGGCCAAUAUAUAAGGACUAGAAGGAAGGAUAGUAAAUACUUCAGGAACUCAGAGAACUAGCAGCUAACAUGAAGAUGGAAUGUGGCACUACCAAUCUAUUUCCUCUCACCUUUGCUGAAGAAAGACAUCCCAGAAGACUUCAUUUCUUAAAAUUGCAUCUGCUGACAAAUUCUAACAUGGAAGAAUAUUAAACUGGAGAUUCUGAUGAAGGCAACUAGGAAGGAGAAAAUCAUGCAAAGAGGUCUGGGCUGUCUCCCAGGAAAGAUGGGGUGGCCUUGCCCUGCAUCCCAGGCACCAUCACUCAUUCGGAUUGUCUCUAGCAGAACAGGGCCUCUGGCAGCUCAAGC
rnacentral:lncRNA from 1 species